rnacentral:rRNA from 1 species
CCUACUGGUGGCAGCAGUGAGUAAUAUUUUUCAAUUUUCUUAAUCCUGCCCCCGCCCCGUCGCGUGCGGGAUGAAGGCCCUACGGGUCGUAAACCGCUUUUGCACGGGGAUAACACCCUCCACUUGUGGAGGUCUGCAGGUACCGUGCGAAUAAGGGCCGGCUAAUUCCGUGCCAGCAGCCGCGGUAAUACGGAAGGCCCGAGCGUUAUCCGGAUUCAUUGGGCUUAAAGGGAGCGUAGGCGGGCGUUCAAGUCAGCUGUAAAAUCGCGCGGCUCAACCGCGCCCCGCAGUUGAAACUGGACGCCUUGAGUUCACAACAGGCAGGCGGAAUUCGUGGUGUAGCGGUGAAAUGCAUAGAUAUCACGAGGAACCCCGAUUGCGAAGGCAGCCUGCCGGGGUGCGACUGACGCUGAGGCUCGAAGGUGCGGGUAUCAAACAGGAUUAGAUACCCCGGUAGUC